rnacentral:rRNA from 1 species
UACGUAGGGUGCAAGCGUUAAUCGGAAUUACUGGGCGUAAAGCGUGCCGCAGGCGGUUUUGUAAGUUUUGUCGUGAAAGCCCCCGGGGCUCAACCUGGGAAUUGCGAUGAAGACUGCAAGGCUUGAAUCUGGCAGAGGGGGGUAGAAUUCCACGUGUAGCAGUGAAAUGCGUAGAGAUGUGGAGGAACACCGAUGGCGGAAGGCAGCCCCCUGGGUCAAGAUUGACGCUCGAUGCACGAAAGCGUGGGGAGCAAACAGG